rnacentral:lncRNA from 1 species
CGUCUCUACUAAAAAUACAGCAAUUAGCUGGGUGUAAUAGUAGCCACCUGUAAUCCCAGCCACUGGGGAGGCUGAAGCAGAAGAACCUCUUGAACCCAGGAGGCAGAGGUUGCAGUGAGCUGAGAUCAUACCACUGCACUCCAGCCUGGGCGAUAGAGUGAGACUCUGUCUCAAAAAAUAAAAUAAAAUAAAUAAAAAGAUUAGAUAAUCUGCAAAGUUCCUGUGAGCGCUGUCAUUUUGUCACUCUGGUUUUUCAGAUUCUUCCCCUGGAGGCUGGAGUUUCCAGGAUGUCAAAAUUACCUCUGCUUGGGUGAGCUAUUUCAAGCAGCUGGGAUACCUGUGUCACUCCUGCUGUCUGCCAGUGACUGCCCAGGUGUCUGCUGGUUCCUCCCCAGGAGUAGGGAGGAACCAGGUGGGCUGGCUGGGAUGGGUGGAUAUUUAAAGACCAGGCCUUGGACGCCGCAGCACUUCUAUCUCUGCUUGAUGCCUGCUGCCACGUGGCUGGUCCUCCUCCUCUUGCUGUGGCUGAGCCCUGGGGUGAAGACAGGCAGCUAUUCCCAACCCCAGAACCUUUGCUGUCUUGGAACAGAUCACCACUGCAAGAGGGGAAGUUGCUACUGUGAUGAAUUCUGCCAUGUGGUACCAGACUGCUACCCAGACCACAGUGUCCUCUGCAACCCUCGUAACUCACAUACAGGCCUGAUUCCACCUACAGCAAAGCUGGAUGCUAUGGUUGGCAGAGGCAAACCCUUUGCCUGCACUUCAGGCCAAAGCCGGGAUGUGGCCUAGAUGGUUCCUAAGGUCCCUGACAAUCCUGAGAUCUUGCAUCUUGUCUAUUUCAGGUCAAAGCUUCUCAGAUGACC